rnacentral:rRNA from 1 species
ACCCUUUAAUGGCUGGUGUUCUAACGUUGGCCCCUUACCGGGGUUGCGGACAGUGUCUGGUGGGUAGUUUGACUGGGGCGGUCUCCUCCUAAAGAGUAACGGAGGAGCACGAAGGUUGGCUAAUCCUGGUCGGACAUCAGGAGGUUAGUGCAAUGGCAUAAGCCAGCUUGACUGCGAGCGUGACGGCGCGAGCAGGUGCGAAAGCAGGUCAUAGUGAUCCGGUGGUUCUGAAUGGAAGGGCCAUCGCUCAACGGAUAAAAGGUACUCCGGGGAUAACAGGCUGAUACCGCCCAAGAGUUCAUAUCGACGGCGGUGUUUGGCACCUCGAUGUCGGCUCAUCACAUCCUGGGGCUGAAGUAGGUCCCAAGGGUAUGGCUGUUCGCCAUUUAAAGUGGUACGCGAGCUGGGUUUAGAACGUCGUGAGACAGUUCGGUCCCUAUCUGCCGUGGGCGCUGGAGAACUGAGGGGGGCUGCUCCUAGUACGAGAGGACCGGAGUGGACGCAUCACUGGUGUUCGGGUUGUCAUGCCAAUGGCACUGCCCGGUAGCUAAAUGCGGAAGAGAUAAGUGCUGAAAGCAUCUAAGCACGAAACUUGCCCCGAGAUGAGUUCUCCCUGAGACCUGGAGUCUCCUGAAGGAACGUUGAAGACGACGACGUUGAUAGGCCGGGUGUGUAAGCGCAGCGAUGCGUUGAGCUAACCGGUACUAAUGAACCGUGAGGCUUAACCUUACAAC